CAGUGCACUGUGUUUUCUCUCUCUUCGCCUAAGCAUUGAGGAAACGCCCUUGAUGCUCUGUGUUUUCUCCGAGUUUUCUCACCUAAGCAUUGAGAAAACGCCCUUGAAGCUCUGGGUUUUCUCCGAGUUUUCUGGCCUAAGCAUAGAGGAAACGCCCUUGAAGCUCUGUGUUUUCUCCGAGUUUUCUCAUCUGAAGCUCUUCAUUUCGGAAACCUCUUCAUUUCGGAAACAUCUGAAGCUCUUCAUUUCUCUGUCUUCGCCGAAACAUUGAGGAAACGCCCUUGAAGCUCUGCGUUUUCUCUGAUUUUUCCCUCUCUUCGCUGGAACAUUGAAGAAAUUCCCUUGAAGCUUUGUGUUUUCUCUGCGCUUUCUCAUUUGAAAGUCUUCAUUUCCUCUCUCCUUUGCCCAAACAAAAACGAAAAUGGUGCUAUCUCUUCCCUCUGAAGCUUCAGCUCAACAAGUUUGGCUCAUUAUACAGUUUUUGAAUGUUUUUGGGAAAGAUGGACUCCUUCGCAAGACAUGGUUCUUGAUCGGUGAUAAUUACUCCGGGUUGACGUCCACUCCUUGCCUGUAGCCAAUUUUCAAAUACCCAUACAAAAGACUCAACUUUCUCAUCAAAUAUAAAAGCAAACUUAAAAAAUAUUGUGAUAAGGUGGUGAUUCACUCCAAGUAUGGGAGCACAGGGCAUGUCAAAAGCAUUUGUCUUAUGUGUGGUAUCAAAGGUGACCACAUUCAAGAAGUGAUGGUAGAACACCCUUGACAUGGCAUCUAACCAUAAUAGGCUGACAAUGUGAUCUUUUUUAUCUAAUUUCACUUUAUAGAAAAAAGAUGGAUUGAAUCUCUUUAUAUCGAUUAACCAUUUCAUCGCAUGAUUGCCAUCUUCCCCUUUGAA